UACGUAGGGGGCUAGCGUUGUCCGGAAUCAUUGGGCGUAAAGAGCGCGUAGGCGGCCAGAUAAGUCCGGUGUGAAAGUCAAAGGCUCAACCUUUGAAUGCCGCUGGAAACUGUCUGGCUAGAGUCCGGGAGGGGCGAGUGGAAUUCCUGGUGUAGCGGUGAAAUGCGCAGAUAUCAGGAGGAACGCCAAUGGCGAAGGCAGCUCGCUGGAACGGUACUGACGCUGAGGCGCGAAAGCGUGGGGAGCAAACAGG
rnacentral:rRNA from 1 species